CUUCAUCUCAAAAAAAAAAAAAAAAAACAACAAAAAAAGGAUCCUUAGGGCUGCCAACUUUAUAGUAGAAGUUGAGGUGGUAGUGGAUUUCUCCUACACAA
rnacentral:snoRNA from 1 species